AGUGAACGCUGGCGGUAGGCCUAACACAUGCAAGUCGAACGGCAGCACAGUAAGAGCUUGCUCUUACGGGUGGCGAGUGGCGGACGGGUGAGGAAUACAUCGGAAUCUACUUUUUCGUGGGGGAUAACGUAGGGAAACUUACGCUAAUACCGCAUACGACCUACGGGUGAAAGCAGGGGAUCUUCGGACCUUGCGCGAUUGAAUGAGCCGAUGUCGGAUUAGCUAGUUGGCGGGGUAAAGGCCCACCAAGGCGACGAUCCGUAGCUGGUCUGAGAGGAUGAUCAGCCACACUGGAACUGAGACACGGUCCAGACUCCUACGGGAGGCAGCAGUGGGGAAUAUUGGACAAUGGGCGCAAGCCUGAUCCAGCCAUACCGCGUGGGUGAAGAAGGCCCUCGGGUUGUAAAGCCCUUUUGUUGGGAAAGAAAAGCAGCAGGUUAAUACCCCGCUGUUCUGACGGUACCCAAAGAAUAAGCACCGGCGAACUUCGU
rnacentral:rRNA from 1 species